GCCCGGUGAUGAUUCCAAGGCGAAUGUGAGUUCACUGGAUGGGUGUCUUGAGGUCUUCUGCGUUCCUAUUGGCUGGUAAUCUUGACAGGACAGCGUAGAUUGGCUGUUCUGUUGUAAGGGCCUGCCUACAGUCUUCAAGCCCUCUCCCUCGUGCGCUACACUGAAAGAACACAGGAGCGAGAGAGCGGGGGGUGCUGACAUGGGGUUGGUGGGGUGGACGCAGAGAUUCUCAGCGCUCUGAUCAAUCCAGAUGGCUAUGAACUGCAUCUUUGGUAAUCUGAGGGUG